AUGUUGUACUAACUUUACCAAAUGAUCCAAUAAAUGUUAGAAAUGUUUGCUCCAAAUAUUGGUUUUUACUAACAUGAACAGAUUAACUGUUGUGAAGUCCGGUUCAAUUAAACUCCAGUUAGACUGAAUAGACUUAAACCGAGAUAGAAGGUUUAGCGGAUUAAUCAGAACGAUGGCGUUUUGAUGAGAGACAGACACGUGUACACCGAGAGUUUGUUACACUUAAAAAGAGAUCAUUGAGAAGGUUGUUACGAUGAUCAGAGAGAGAAAAAGAUCAGAGAGAUUUGGCGAUCAGAUCGGAGAAGAAGAGCUUGAGCAUUCGUGUUGAAGAAGCUUGGGAAGCGUCAAACCGCAGAGUAUAUGAGGUAUAUCGAUUACACAUUGUAAGUCGAUCACAUACUCUGUCCUCAGCUCGAUUGAGAUCUCUGGAUCACGUAUUGUUGAUAUACGUUGUAGAUCACCAUUGUUGAUUGGUUGAAGCUCUUUGAAGUUAAUAAAACGCGCUGAGGGACGUUUUUUCCCUCCCCUGUGAGUAGAUCAGCAAACACAGGGUUAACAAAACCGUGUCGACUUAUUCUUGCUUUAUCGAACGUAUAAACCUAGAUUGAUAACAUUCUAGGUUGAAUCAGUUAAGAUCUUGAGCUCAAAUCGGUUUAAAACUCUAGAAGUGGUAUCAGACCAUCUAGGUUGGAUUGCGAAGGCUAAAGAGUUGUGGAUUUGAGGUCAUCUUGAAACUCAGAGUGAUUGAAGAGAGUUUCAAGAUCAGAUCUAAGAUUCGAAGGAUUCAUCUCUGGAAGUGAUGACCAUGGCACCAACGAUGGGAAAAUUUCAGAUGGACAAGUUAGAUGGCAAAUGUGAUUUUGGUCUCUGGAAGUUCAAGCUUAUGGGGCAACUUGAGAUUCAGAGACUACUGGUAACAAUCACCGAAGGAUUCACAAUCUAUGCUUCAUCAGAGAAGCAAGAAGAAGGAGCUUCUCCCUUGGUGGACCAGAAGAAGGCUGAGAAGGAUCUAAGAACAAGGAGCUUGCUUGGAACUUGUGUAAGCGACUCUAUUCUUAGAAAGAUAAUGAAUGAACUACUGCGUUGGGAAUGUGGAAGGCAAUGGAGAAGAUCUAUCAGACUAGAUCUCUUCCAAACAGAAUUUAUCUUAAGAAGCAGUUCUCUUGCUACAAGAUGGAAGAGGAUAAGACCAUUGAGGAGAAUGUUGACAUCUUUCUCAAGCUCAUUGCGGAUCUGGAGAGUCUUAAGAUGACAGUCUCUGAUGAAGAUCAGGCAAUACAACUUCUAUCUGGCCUCCCACCUGCGUUUGAACAACUAGUACAUACACUACAGUAUGGUACUGGAAAAGAAACAUUAACUGUCUCAAAAGUUGUGACUUCAGCUUACUCAAUGGAAGCUGAACUGAGACAUAGAGGAUUGCUAGGCAAGAAGAAGAAUGGAGCUGAAGGAUUAUAUGUGGAAGCUCGUGGUAGAUCAUCAAAGAGACAGUCUGAAUCAGGAUACAAAAAGGACUACAAGAGAAACAACAGAUCAAAGAGUCAUGGAGACAGGCCAAAGUCUAGAGGAAGGUCUGAGAAAUGGAAGCGAGGCACAUGCUUUAUCUGUGGAAAAGAUGGACAUUGGAAGAAAUAAUGUCCAGAGAGAAAUGAAAGAAGUAAUCCAGAGCCAUUGGCAAACUCAGUUCAUGAAGUGAGACAACCAAUGGUCCUAACGGCUAGUCCAACAGAUACUAAAGGUGAUUGGAUUCUUGAUUCAGGAUGCACGUUUCACAUAACUCCAGACAUAGAGCUGUUGUUUGACUUGGAAGAAUCAGAUGGAGGAAGAGUUCUUAUGGCAAACAAUACUCAAAGUGAAGUAAAAGGUAUUGGGAAGAUAAGAAUCUUAAAUGAAGAAGGACAUGAAGUGAUUCUUACUGGAGUGCGUUUUAUGCCUAAUAUGAGAAGAAACUUGAUCUCAUAUGGUAUGCUUGAGAAGUCUGGCUGCAGAUACGAAAGAGGAGAUUUCACAGUCAUAUUUUUCAAAGGAGAUAAGAAGGUGAUCAGUGGUAAAUAAAUUCAUGGUUUGUAUUAUCUUCAAGGGUCAGUGGUUAAGGGUGAAGCGAAUGCAGCGAUGCCAAAAGAGAAGAAUACCAUGCUUUGGCAUUCAAGACUUGGACACAUCAGUAAGAAGAACUUUGAUAUUCUGAUCAAGGAGGGUUACAUACCAAAGGCAGAAGCAGGGGAAAUGGGUUUCUGUGAGGAUUGUGUUCUAGGAAAGUCUCACAAGCAGAGCUUUCCAACGGCAAAACACACCACCAAAAACAUUCUUGAGUAUGUACACUCAGAUCUCUGGGGUUCUUCACCAAACUCAGAAAGCCUUGGAGGAUGCAAGUACUUUAUCAGCUUCAUAGAUGAUUUCUCAAAGAAAGUAUGGGUCUUCUUCCUGAAAACUAAGGAUGAGGCUUUCUUGAGGUUAAAGAAUGGAAAGAAAUGGUUAAGAGUCAUAGAGAGAAGAAGAUCAAUUGUUUGAGAACUGAUAAUGGGUUAGAAUACUGCAAUAAUCAGUUUGAAGAGUUGUGUAGAAAAAGUGGGAUAAAGAGGCAUAGGACUUGCGCCUACACACCUCAACAUAAUGGGACGGCAGAGAGAAUGAAUCAAACUAUUAUGGAUAGAGUUCGAAGCAUGUUGUCAGAAACUGGACUAGGAAAAGAGUUUUGGGCAGAAGCUACCUCAACAGCUGUUUACUUGAUCAACCGAACUCCAAAUUCUACAAUUGAGUUCAAGCUUCCUGAAGAAGUAUGGUCUGGUAGGAAACCUGAUAUUGGCCAUCUCAAGAGGUUCGGUUGCACCGCAUAUGUUCAUGUUACACAAGACAAAACAAGCCCCAGAGCAUUAAAAGGGAUUUUUGUAGGUUAUCCUUUUGGAGUAAAAGGAUACCGUGUCUGGAUCACUGAAGAUGCAAAGUGUGUAACAAGUAGGAAUGUUAUCUUCAGAGAAGAAGAGGUGUAUAAGGAUGUUGAGGAGACUACAAAGAAGGCUGAACCAGAAACUGAGUUAAGAAAGGAGAAAAGGUCAGGAGAGAAGAAGGUCACAUUCAGUCCAAAGUUGAUUCGUGGAUCAGGAUAUGAGUAUGGUGAAACAUCAGGCUUAGGUGGAGAAACUUCAGAGUUGCAGACUGAGAGUGAAAGUGAGAAUAAUGCAGGGUCUGAGGGAUAUUCAGAAAGUGAUGAAGAAGAAGGCCUCACGUUUCACGAAGAAUCAGAAACUGAGACUCAACCUGAGGUUAGUGGUUACCUGUUGGCAAGGGAUCGAACAAGAAGAAACGUAAGACCUCCUUCAAGAUAUGAAGAUGCAAAUCUUGUAGCUUAUGCUCUGUCAGUCUCUGAAGAUAUUGAGUCUGAGGAACCAAAAUUAUUUGCAGAAGCUAAGCUAAGCAAGAAAUAGAAAUUAUGGAACAAUGCAACUUCAGAGGAAAUGGUUUUUCUUGAUAAGAAUCACACAUGGGACUUGAUUGAAAGGCCUGAAGGACAGAAAACAGUUGGAUGUAAGUGGUUGUUUAAACUUAAGCCAGGGAUUCCGGGGGUUGAAAACGAGAGGCACAAAGCUAGGCUUGUAGCAAAAGGUUAUUCUCAAAAGAAGGGAAUAGACUACAAUGAGAUAUUCUCUCCUGUUGUCAAACAUGUCUCCAUAAGACUAAUGUUAUCGAUUGUAGUCAACAAGGACUAUGAGUUGGAGCAGCUUGAUGUGAAAACUGCCUUCUUACAUGGGAAUUUAGAAGAAAGAAUCAUCAUGGAUCAGCCUGAGGGAUUUAUAAAACCUGGAGAUGAGAACAAGGUCUGCUUGUUGAGGAAGUCUCUUUAUGGCUUGAAACAGUCACCAAGACAAUGGAAUCUUAGGUUUGAUAAUUUCAUGAUAGAUCAGAAGCUUAAGAGAAGUGAGUAUGACUCUUGCGUCUACAUGAAGAACCUCAGGACUGAACAAGCUAUCUAUCUUCUACUGUAUGUUGAUGAUAUGCUUAUAACAUCAGGGGAUUUGUCUGAAAUAAGAAAAAUAAAAGACAGUCUGAGUAAUGAGUUCGAAAUGAAGGAUAUGGGAGCUGCAUCUCGUAUUCUAGGUAUGGACAUCACUAGAUACAGGAAGAAUGGUGUGUUGACGUUGUCUCAAGGGAACUACAUCAGAAAGGUGCUUAAGACAUUUGGAAUGAGUGAAGCUACCGCAGUUACAAUUCCGCUAGCUUCUCAUUUUAAACUCAGGAGCUUAAAGAAGGAUGAACUGGUGAUAGAGAAAGCUCGAAUGGAUAAGGUUCCUUAUGCCAGUGUUGUAGGCAGUAUGAUGUAUGCUAUGAUUGGGACAAGACCUGACUUGGCUUAUGCUGUUGGUGUUAUAAGUCGAUUCAUGUCAAAGUCGGGUAUGAAGCAAUGGGAAGCAGUCAAGUGGGGUUUGAGAUAUUUGAGAGGCGAGACUUCAAGGUGUUUGGAGUUCAGAAAGCAUGGAGAAUUUAGCAUUGAAGGCUUCAGUGACUCUGACUAAGCUACAGACAUGGAUAGGAGGAGGUCAGUCAGAGGGUAUAUCUUCAAGGUUUGGGGUAACACAGUGAGCUGGAGAUCAAACCUACAAUCUGUUGUUGCCUUAUCAUCCAUUGAGGCAGAGUAUAUGGCUCUGUCGACAGCUACUAAGGAAGCUAUCUGGAUGAAGGGAAUUUCUGAAGAGUUGGGAUUCGAUUCAGGGAAGGUUAAGAUGCAUUGUGAUUCUCAAAGUGCUUUGGCUCUUGCAAAGAACGCAGUGUAUCAUGAGAAAACUAAACAUGUGGCUACAAAGUACAACUUCAUCAGGGACAUUAUAGCGCAAGGAACUAUCAUUCUGUAUAAGAUACACACAAGCAAGAAUCCAACCGAUUUCUUCACUAAGGCUCUUCCUAGACCUAAGUUCAAUCUCUGCUGUGAUUUGUCGAAUGUUGUAUGAGAAGAGAGCUUCGAGUAACUCUAUGAGACUGAUCUAAUAUGCCUGCUAGAUCAGCGUGCUUGAGAGUUUCAUUUGGUAAGAGUUACUCAUGAUGCAGGAUAAAUGGUUCAGAAGGUGUUUAGUUUGAGGUGGAGCUCGUCUUGGUCAGUUCAAGAUGUGUGGUCUUGGCAUUAAAUUUUUGUUUAGUUCUUGUGAGUUCAGCUUCAGGUUGAGUUGAGAAUCAGUUCUGUUCAGUCAAGUUUUAGAGAUCAAGUUGAGUAAUCAGAAUGGGUUCAGACUAUUCAAAAGCUGCUGGUGCUUCUGUGGAGUGGUUAUUGAAAGGUGGAGAUUGUGAAGUCCGGUUCAAUUAAACUCCGGUUAGACUGAAUAGAGUUAAACCUAGAUGGAAGGUUUAGCGGAUUAAUCAGAACGAUGACGUUUUGAUGAGAGACAGACAUGUGUACACCGAGAGUUUGUUACACUUAAAAAGAGAUUGUUGAGAAGGUUGUUACGAUGAUCAGAGAGAGAAAAAUAUCAGAGAGAUUUGGCGAUCAGAUCAGAGAAGAAGAGCUUGAGCAUUCGUGUUGAAGAAGCUUGGGAAGCGUCACACCGCAGAGUAUAGGAGGUAUAUCGAUUACACGUUGUAAGUCGAUCACAUACUCUGUUCUCAGCUCGAUUGAGAUCUUUGGAUCACGUAUUGUUGAUAUACGUUGUAGAUCGCCAUUGUUGAUUGGUUGAAGCUCUCUGAAGUUAAUAAAACGCGCCGAGGGACGUUAUUCCCUCCCCUGUGAGUAAAUCAGCGAACACAGGGUUAACAAAAUCGUGUCGACUUAU
rnacentral:lncRNA from 1 species